GGAGCUUGCUCCCCGGGUGACGAGCGGCGGACGGGUGAGUAAUGUCUGGGAAACUGCCUGAUGGAGGGGGAUAACUACUGGAAACGGUAGCUAAUACCGCAUAACGUCGCAAGACCAAAGAGGGGGACCUUCGGGCCUCUUGCCAUCAGAUGUGCCCAGAUGGGAUUAGCUAGUAGGUGGGGUAAUGGCUCACCUAGGCGACGAUCCCUAGCUGGUCUGAGAGGAUGACCAGCCACACUGGAACUGAGACACGGUCCAGACUCCUACGGGAGGCAGCAGUGGGGAAUAUUGCACAAUGGGCGCAAGCCUGAUGCAGCCAUGCCGCGUGUGUGAAGAAGGCCUUCGGGUUGUAAAGCACUUUCAGCGAGGAGGAAGGUGGUGAGCUUAAUACGCUCAUCAAUUGACGUUACUCGCAGAAGAAGCACCGGCUAACUCCGUGCCAGCAGCCGCGGUAAUACGGAGGGUGCAAGCGUUAAUCGGAAUUACUGGGCGUAAAGCGCACGCAGGCGGUUUGUUAAGUC
rnacentral:rRNA from 1 species